rnacentral:rRNA from 1 species
CGGGAAGAGCUCAAAUUUGAAAGCUGGCACUUGUGUCCGCGUUGUAAUCUCGAGACGUGUUUUCCGUGCGGCGCUAUGGACAAGUUCCUUGGAAUAGGACAUCGUAGAGGGUGAAAAUCCCGUACUUGCCAUGGAUGUACCGUGCUUUGUGAUACACGCUCUAA